rnacentral:rRNA from 1 species
UACAGAGGUCUCAAGCGUUGUUCGGAUUCAUUGGGCGUAAAGGGUGUGUAGGUGGCGCCGUUAGUCGGGGGUGAAAUUUCGGAGCUUAACUCCGAAACUGCAUUCGAUACUGCGGUGCUUGAGGACUGGAGAGGAGACUGGAAUUCAUGGUGUAGCAGUGAAAUGCGUUGAUAUCGUUCGGAACACCGAAAGCGAAGGCAGAGGACGGGGUGCCACCUGACACUACUAGGACGAAAGCGUGGGGAGCGAAUGGG